AUUGAACGCUGGCGGCAUGCUUUACACAUGCAAGUCGGACGGCAGCGGGGUAGUGCUUGCACUACUGCCGGCGAGUGGCGGACGGGUGAGUAAUAUAUUGGAACGUACCGAGUAAUGGGGGAUAACAAAUCGAAAGAUCGGCUAAUACCGCAUACGCUCUGAGGCGGAAAGCAGGGGACCUUCGGGCCUUGCGUUAUUAGAGCGGCCAAUAUCUGAUUAGCUAGUUGGUGGGGUAAGGGUCUACCAAGGCGACGAUCAGUAGCGGGUCUGAGAGGAUGAUCCGCCACACUGGAAGUGGAACGCGGCCCAGACUCCUACGGGAGGCAGCAGUGGGGAACUUUGGACAAUGGUGGCAAACCUGGUCCAGCCGUGCCGCGUGUCUGGAGAAGGCCUUCGGUUUGUAAAGGACUUUUGUUAGGGAAGAAAAAGUAGCGGUUAAUACCCGUUUCUGCUGACGGUACCUAAUGAAUAAGCACCGGCUAACUACGUG
rnacentral:rRNA from 1 species